rnacentral:miRNA from 2 species
UAAAGCUUUAGUACCAGAGGUC